GACGAACGCUGGCGGCGUGCUUAACACAUGCAAGUCGAACGGAAAGGCCCUGCUUUUGUGGGGUGCUCGAGUGGCGAACGGGUGAGUAACACGUGAGUAACCUGCCCUUGACUUUGGGAUAACUUCAGGAAACUGUGGCUAAUACCGGAUAGGAGCUCCUGCUGCAUGGUGGGGGUUGGAAAGUUUCGGCGGUUGGGGAUGGACUCGCGGCUUAUCAGCUUGUUGGUGGGGUAGUGGCUUACCAAGGCUUUGACGGGUAGCCGGCCUGAGAGGGUGACCGGCCACAUUGGGACUGAGAUACGGCCCAGACUCCUAAGGGAGGCAGCAGUGGGGAAUAUUGCACAAUGGGCGGAAGCCUGAUGCAGCAACGCCGCGUGCGGGAUGACGGCCUUCGGGUUGUAAACCGCUUUCGCCUGUGACGAAGAGUGAGUGACGGUAGUGGGUAAAGAAGCACCGGCUAACUACGUG
rnacentral:rRNA from 1 species